CCUCAGCUUACUAUUUUCUACCAAUUAAAUGAUUCUGAAUUCUCUGUUUGACACCAGCAACGAUAGCAUCACAAAAACAAGCUGACGAUUGGCAUUUUCAUCAACUUUUACCAUUUUCAUUGCGCUCCUGCUUUCUUAGCUUCUCUGUUCUCAUAUUCAGUUCUAAAUACUGUCAGUCAUUCUAGUUAUAGCUAUGAAGCUUCCCUCUAGUUUUUAACUCUCCCUGCAGCUCAAAAGUUGCUUCCUGCGUUAUCACUCAGACAUUUCCCCCAUCUUCCUCUACAUCAGGGGCAUCAAUUUCUUGACUAUCAAGGUUGAGGCACAACUUCAGCGGACUCUGGUAAUUGAAUGCAGUUCAACAGCACCCUAACAGAGCAUCCUUAUUGCUCUAAAACAGAGCACUCGUAGGUUACAUAUCGGAACCAACCGUGCCCAAAGCAGCUACAAUCA
rnacentral:misc_RNA from 1 species